GGCUCAGGAUGAACGCUAGCGGCAGGCUUAACACAUGCAAGUCGAGGGGCAGCGGGGAGGAAGCUUGCUUUCUCCGCCGGCGACCGGCGCACGGGUGAGUAACACGUAUGCAACCUGCCCCUGUCAGGGGGACAACCCGCCGAAAGGCGGGCUAAACCCGCGUACAUGCCACCGGGGCAUCCCGGAGGCAGGAAAGGCUUCGGCCGGACAGGGAUGGGCAUGCGGCGCAUUAGGCAGUAGGCGGGGUAACGGCCCACCUAACCGACGAUGCGUAGGGGUUCUGAGAGGAAGGUCCCCCACACUGGUACUGAGACACGGACCAGACUCCUACGGGAGGCAGCAGUGAGGAAUAUUGGUCAAUGGUCGGGAGACUGAACCAGCCAAGCCGCGUGAGGGAGGAAGGUACAGAGUAUCGUAAACCUCUUUUGUCAGGGAACAAAGACUGGGACGCGUCCCCGGAUGAGUGUACCUGAAGAAAAAGCAUCGGCUAACUCCGUGCCAGCAGCCGCGGUAAUACGGAGGAUGCGAGCGUUAUCCGGAUUUAUUGGGUUUAAAGGGUGCGCAGGCGGUCUGUUAAGUCAGCGGUCAAAGCCCGGGGCUCAACCCCGGCCCGCCGUUGAAACUGGCAGUCUCGAGUUGGAGAGAAGUAUGCGGAAUGCGCGGUGUAGCGGUGAAAUGCAUAGAUAUCGCGCAGAACUCCGAUUGCGAAGGCAGCAUGCCGGCUCCACACUGACGCUGAGGCACGAAAGCGUGGGUAUCGAACAGGAUUAGAUACCCUGGUAGUCCACGCAGUAAACGAUGAAUGCUGGCUGUCCGGGGGGACUGACCCCUGGGUGGCGAAGCGAAAGCGAUAAGCAUUCCACCUGGGGAGUACGCCGGCAACGGUGAAACUCAAAGGAAUUGACGGGGGCCCGCACAAGCGGAGGAACAUGUGGUUUAAUUCGAUGAUACGCGAGGAACCUUACCCGGGCUCAAACGGGGAGUGGCGCAGGCAGAGACGCCUGUUUCCCACGGGACACUCCCCGAGGUGCUGCAUGGUUGUCGUCAGCUCGUGCCGUGAGGUGUCGGCUUAAGUGCCAUAACGAGCGCAACCCCCGCGUGCAGUUGCUAACAGUCAACGCUGAGGACUCUGCACGGACUGCCGGCGCAAGCCGCGAGGAAGGCGGGGAUGACGUCAAAUCAGCACGGCCCUUACGUCCGGGGCGACACACGUGUUACAAUGGGUGGUACAGCGGGAAGCCAGGCGGCGACGCCGAGCGGAACCCGAAAUCCACUCUCAGUUCGGAUCGGAGUCUGCAACCCGACUCCGUGAAGCUGGAUUCGCUAGUAAUCGCGCAUCAGCCAUGGCGCGGUGAAUACGUUCCCGGGCCUUGUACACACCGCCCGUCAAGCCAUGGGAGCCGAGGGCGCUUGAAGUGCGUCGCCGCGAGGCGCGCCCUAGAGCGAAAUCGGUGACUGGGGCUAAGUCGUAACAAGGUAACC
rnacentral:rRNA from 1 species